GGGAGGGUUAUGAGGGUUAGGAGUGUUGAGAGGGUUAGGAGGGUUAUAAGUGUUAAGAGGGUUAGAUAUGUUAAGAGGGUUAGAUAUGUUAGGAGGGUUAGAUGUGUUAGGGGGGUUUGGAGGGGUUAGAUGUGUUAGGAGGGUUAGGGGGGUUAGAUGUGUUAGGAGGGUUAGAUGUGUUGGGAGGGUUAGGAGGGUUAGAUGUGUUAAGAGGGUUAGAUAUGUUAGGAGGGUUAGAUAUGUUAGAUGUGUUGGGGGGGUUAGAUGUGUUAGGAGGGUUAGGAGGGUUAGAUGUGUUGGGAGGGUUAGGAGGGUUAGAUGUGUUAGGAGGGUUAGAUGUGUUCGGAGGGUUAGGAGGGUUAUAAGUGUUAAGAGGGUUAGAUAUGUUAAGAGGGUUAGAUAUGUUAGGAGGGUUAGAUGUGUUAGGGGUUUGGAGGGUUAGGAGGGUUAAGUUAGAAGGGUUAGAUGUGUUAGGAGGGUUAGAUAUGUUAGGAGGGUUAGAUGUGUUAGGAGGGUUAGAUGUGUUAGGAGGGUUAGAUGUGUUAGGAGGGUUAGAUG
ensembl:lncRNA